GACGAACGCUGGCGGCGUGCUUAACACAUGCAAGUCGAACGAUGAACUUGGAGCUUGCUCUGGGGGAUUAGUGGCGAACGGGUGAGUAACACGUGAGUAACCUGCCCUGGACUCUGGGAUAACUUCGAGAAAUCGGAGCUAAUACCGGAUAGGACCUUGCACCGCAUGGUGUGGGGUGGAAAGUUUUUCGGUUUGGGAUGGACUCGCGGCCUAUCAGCUUGUUGGUGAGGUAAUGGCUCACCAAGGCGUCGACGGGUAGCCGGCCUGAGAGGGUGACCGGCCACACUGGGACUGAGACACGGCCCAGACUCCUACGGGAGGCAGCAGUGGGGAAGAUUGCACAAUGGGCGCAAGCCUGAUGCAGCAACGCCGCGUGCGGGAUGACGGCCUUCGGGUUGUAAACCGCUUUUAGUAGGGAAGAAGCCUUCGGGUGACGGUACCUGCAGAAAAAGGACCGGCUAACUACGUGCCAGCAGCCGCCGUAAGAC
rnacentral:rRNA from 1 species